CAGCAUCUUCACUAUGUUGAAAAAGCUAUCUAGUACAUCAGUGUGAUCUGGUAUGUUGUCCAGGUGUUUUAAGUGCCAAUCUUGAUAAAGGUCCUCACAUGGACCGAAACGUCGAUGAAAAACGGCAUCAACAGUGAACCUGAAUAAAAUUAUAUUGAAUUUACAA